rnacentral:rRNA from 1 species
AUUGAACGCUGGCGGCAGGCCUAACACAUGCAAGUCGAGCGGAAGAAGGGAGCUUGCUUCUGGAUUCAGCGGCGGACGGGUGAGUAAUGCCUAGGAAUCUGCCUGGCUGUGGGGGAUAACGUCCGGAAACGGGCGCUAAUACCGCAUACGUCCUGAGGGAGAAAGAGGGGGAUCUUCGGACCUUACGCUAUCAGAGGAGUCUAGGUCGGAUUAGCUAGUUGGUGGGGUAAAGGCCUACCAAGGCGACGAUCCGUAACUGGUCCGAGAGGAUGAUCAGUCACACUGGAACUGAGACACGGUCCAGACUCCUACGGGAGGCAGCAGUGGGGAAUAUUGGACAAUGGGCGAAAGCCUGAUCCAGCCAUGCCGCGUGUGUGAAGAAGGUCUUCGGAUUGUAAAGCACUUUAUGUUGGGAGGAAGAGCAGUAGGUUAAUACCUUGCUGUUUUGACGGUACCAACAGAAUAAGCACCGGCUAACUUCGUG